rnacentral:rRNA from 1 species
CCUACGGGCGGCAGCAGUGAGGAAUAUUGGUCAAUGGGCGCGAGUCUGAACCAGCCAAGCCGCGUGAAGGAUGACGGCCCUAUGGGUUGUAAACUUCUUUUAUAAAGGAAUAAAGUGAGGUACGUGUGUCUUUUUGUAUGUAUUUUAUGAAUAAGGAUCGGCUAACUCCGUGCCAGCAGCCGCGGUAAUACGGAGGAUUCGAGCGUUAUCCGGAUUUAUUGGGUUUAAAGGGUGCGUAGAUGGGUUGAUAAGUCAGUUGUGAAAGUUUGCGGCUCAACCGUAAAAUUGCAAUUGAUACUGUCAGUCUUGAGUACAGUUGAGGUAGGCGGAAUUCGUGGUGUAGCGGUGAAAUGCUUAGAUAUCACAAAGAACUCCGAUUGCGAAGGCAGCUUACUAAGCUGCCACUGACAUUGAGGCUCGAAAGUGUGGGUAUCAAACAGGAUUAGAUACCCUUGUAGUC